GUCUGCUGCAAACCUGAUCUGUCUUCCCUUGUAGCUUAGGGACUUUUUUUCCCUUGCUGGUUUCAUGAUUCUCUCUUUGCCUCAGUAUUUUGUGAAUUUGACUAUGAUAUGCCUUGUUGAUGGUCUGUUUUUGUUGAAUCUAAUGAGGGUCCUCUGUGCUUCCUGGAUUUUGAUGUCUGUGUCUUUCCCCAGGUUAGGAAAGUUUUCCGCUAUGACUUGUGCACGUAACUCUCUACCCCUAUUUCUCUCUCUUCCUCUUCUGGGACCCCCUAUGAUUCUGAUGUUAUUCCUUUUUAAUGAGCCACUGAUUUCUCUAAUUCUUAGAUCAUGCUUUUUUGCCUUCAUCUCCCUCUUUUUUUCUGCUUCAUUAUUGUCUAUAAGUUUGUCCUCUAUAUCACUGAUUCUCUGUUCUGCCUCAUCCAUCCUUGCUGCCGCUGUAUCCAUCUGUGAUUGCAGCUCAGUUAUAGCAUUUUUUAUUUCAUUCUGGCUAUUUUUUACUUCUUUUAUCUCCACAGAAAGGGAAUCUAAUCUAUUUUUUUACUCCAGCUAGUAUUCUCAUUAUCGUGAUUCUAAAUUCUGGCUCAGACAUCUUGCUUGUAUCUGUGUUGGUUAAAUCCCUGGCUGUCGUUUCUUCAUGCUCUUUAUUUUGGGGGUGAAUUCCUUCGUUUCAUCAUUUUGAAGGGAGAAAAGGAAUUAAUGAGGUAGAAAAAUUAAAAUUAAAAAUGAAUUAAAAAUUUAAAAAUAUUAAAAUUAAAAAAUUAAACACACGCACACACACAAAUCGAAUAAAUGAUGCUGGAUCCUAGGUGUGUUUUGGUCUGAGUGUUAAAAGUGGUUUGACAAAUUAAAGAAAAAAAGGGGGGGGGAGAAAAAAAAGGAAAUUGUUUGAGAAUUUGAGAAAAUGAAUACACUGAAGUAAACUAAAAUGAGAUGAUGGAGGUAAAGUAGAAUUUGAAAAAAUAUACACAGAAGUAAAUAAGAUAGUAGAAAAAAUAAAGAAAAAUAUUUUUAUUAAAAAUUUAAGAAAUGAAUUUUUCUUUCCCUAUAUUCAAGAAAAAGAAAAGAUACAAAAGAGAAAAAAAGAAAAAAGAAAAGAAAGGGAAAAAAGGAAAUCAUUUGAAAAUUUGAAAAAGUGAAUACACUGUAGGAGACUAAAAUAAAAUGAUGGAAGUAAAAUGGAUUUUGAAAAUAUUUACAUAAAAGCAAAAAUUAUAGUAAAAAAUUAAAGAAAAAUAUUUUUUUAAUUUUUUUUAACGUUUUAUUUAUUUUUGAGACAGAGAGAGACAGAGCAUGAACGGGGGAGGGGCAGAGAGAGAGGGAGACACAGAAUCGGAAGCAGGCUCCAGGCUCUGAGCCAUCAGCCCAGAGUCCGACGCGGGGCUCAAACUCACAGACCGCGAGAUCAUGACCUGAGCCGAAGUCGGACGCUUAACCGACUGAGCCACCCAGGUGCCCCAAGAAAAAUAUUUUUAAUAGAAGUUGAAGGUAAAGGUGAAGUUUUCCUUUCUGCAUUCAAGAAAAAGAAAUGAAAGAGAAAAAAGUAAAAGAAAAAAGGAGAUCGUUCGAAAAUUUGAGAAGGUGAAUACACUGAAGUAGACUAAAAUAAAAUGAUGGAAAUAAAAUAGAAUUUGAAAAAAUUUACACAACAGUAAAAAAUAUAGCAAUAAAAAUUAAAGAAAAAUAUUUUUAAUAAAAAUUGCAAAUGAAAAUGAAUUUUUUCUCCUUCUGUAUUUGUGAAAAAGAAAGAAAAAAAAAAGAAAAUUGAAUAGAUGGACCUGCUAACAGAUUGAAGUAGGACUGAAAUUACUUCAUUUUCCCCUAGAACAGCGGAACCGCUUUUCCCCGUGUGGCAAGAGAACCUCCCGGACCCCACUCUGCUCCUGGGGAUUCGCCCUUCCCACCAGAGCACCGCCAGG